UACAGAGGUCUCACGCGUUGUUCGGAUUCAUUGGGCGUAAAGGGGUGCGUAGGCGGCGCGGUAAGUCGGGUGUGAAAUCUCGGAGCUUAACUCCGAAACUGCAUUCGAUACUGCCGUGCUUGAGGACUGGAGAGGAGACUGGGAAUUCCUGGUGUAGCGGUGAAAUGCGCAGAUAUCAGGAGGAACACCAACGGCGAAGGCAGCUCUCUGGGACGUUACUGACGCUGAGAGCGAAAGCGUGGGGGAGCAAAACAGGG
rnacentral:rRNA from 1 species